UGCCAAGCAAGUCCUACCACUACCUUCUGGUGGUACUGGCCAGGAUACGAGCAACCUUAGGGAAGAGCGGCUGACGAACCCCUGUGGGAACUUUGGUCAUAUGCUGACAGGGAAGG
rnacentral:ribozyme from 1 species